AUUAGUGGCGAACGGGUGAGUAAUACGUGAGUAACCUACCUUUAACUCUGGGAUAAGCCCGGGAAACUGGGUCUAAUACCGGAUACGACCGAUCUCCGCAUGGGGUGUUGGUGGAAAGCGUUAUGUAGUGGUUAUAGAUGGGCUCACGGCCUAUCAGCUUGUUGGUGAGGUAACGGCUCACCAAGGCGACGACGGGUAGCCGGCCUGAGAGGGUGACCGGCCACACUGGGACUGAGACACGGCCCAG
rnacentral:rRNA from 1 species